GAUGAAGAACGCAGCAAAAUGCGAUAAGUAAUGUGAAUUGCAGAAUUCAGUGAAUCAUCGAAUCUUUGAACGCACAUUGCGCCCGCUGGUAUUCCGGCGGGCAUGCCUGUUCGAGCGUCAUUUCAACCCUCAAGCCCCCGGGUUUGGUGUUGGGGAUCGGCUCUGCCCUUCUGGGCGGUGCCGCCCCCGAAAUACAUUGGCGGUCUCGCUGCAGCCUCCAUUGCGUAGUAGCUAACACCUCGCAACUGGAACGCGGCGCGGCCAUGCCGUAAAACCCCAACUCUUCUGAAGUUGACCUCGAAUCAGGUAGGAAUACCCGCUGAACUUAAGCAUAUCAAUAAGCGGAGGA
rnacentral:misc_RNA from 1 species